rnacentral:rRNA from 1 species
GAUGAACGCUAGCUACAGGCUUAACACAUGCAAGUCGAGGGGAAACGGCAUUGAGUGCUUGCACUCUUUGGACGUCGACCGGCGCACGGGUGAGUAACGCGUAUCCAACCUUCCCAUUACUGUGGGAUAACCUGCCGAAAGGCAGACUAAUAUCGCAUAGUCUUCGAUGACGGCAUCAGAUUUGAAGUAAAGAUUUAUCGGUAAUGGAUGGGGAUGCGUCUGAUUAGCUUGUUGGCGGGGUAACGGCCCACCAAGGCGACGAUCAGUAGGGGUUCUGAGAGGAAGGUCCCCCACAUUGGAACUGAGACACGGUCCAAACUCCUACGGGAGGCAGCAGUGAGGAAUAUUGGUCAAUGGGCGAGAGCCUGAACCAGCCAAGUAGCGUGCAGGAUGACGGCCCUAUGGGUUGUAAACUGCUUUUGUAUGGGGAUAAAGUCAGUCACGUGUGAUUGUUUGCAGGUACCAUACGAAUAAGGACCGGCUAAUUCCGUGCCAGCAGCCGCGGUAAUACGGAAGGUCCAGGCGUUAUCCGGAUUUAUUGGGUUUAAAGGGAGCGUAGGCCGGAGAUUAAGUGUGUUGUGAAAUGUAGACGCUCAACGUCUGACUUGCAGCGCAUACUGGUUUCCUUGAGUACGCACAACGUUGGCGGAAUUCGUCGUGUAGCGGUGAAAUGCUUAGAUAUGACGAAGAACUCCGAUUGCGAAGGCAGCUGACGGGAGCGCAACUGACGCUUAAGCUCGAAGGUGCGGGUAUCAAACAGG